rnacentral:rRNA from 1 species
UGAGCAUAASUCGUAACAUAGUAGGUGUACUGGAAAGUGUAUCUAGGAUUAUAU